UACGGAGGGUGCAAGUGUUAUUCGGAAUCACUGGGCGUAAAGAGCACGUAGGCGGAUAGGCAAGUCAGGUGUGAAAGCCCGGAGCUCAACUCCGGAAUUGCAUUUGAUACUGCUUGUCUUGAGUGAGGUAGAGGGGGGUGGAAUUCCCGGUGUAGAGGUGAAAUUCGUAGAUAUCGGGAGGAACACCAGAGGCGAAGGCGACCCCCUGGGCCUCUACUGACGCUGAGGUGCGAAAGCGUGGGGAGCAAACAGG
rnacentral:rRNA from 1 species